rnacentral:lncRNA from 1 species
CAGAAAAUCUUUAGCCGUGAGCAAAUCAAUGCAACAAGAAUGGCCAUAUCAUCUUAGAAAUUCUGACCACUGCCUUAUAUGACCUGUUAAUCUCAGAUAGGGGUAGUUUCUCUGUUAAACCCAGAGACGAGUGUGAUAUAACAUAUUUAUAUGCACAGCUACGAAGGAACAACAAGCAUAUACCAGGCCAUGGUUGGGGAUGUAAGUGGUCCGAUAUUCAGAAUUCUCACAUUCUGAUUGGUGACGAUAUUGAACGCAUUAGGUUAGCUCGAAAUGAUAUGGCUCACUCAAAGAAGUUCUCGUUAGAUGACAAUAAAUAUUAUGAGCUAUGUGGUAUUUUAGAGAGAGUCCUCCAUCGUUUAGAAGUACAUAAUGGGAAAGGAAAGCGCUACACAGACCAAAUGAAAAAUGUGAAAAAGCAAGAGACAAAACCAAUAGACUGGCAAAAUUACCAAAAGAAAAUAUCUUCCG